rnacentral:rRNA from 1 species
UACGGAGGGUGCAAGCGUUAUCCGGAUUUAUUGGGUUUAAAGGGUCCGUAGGCGGAUCUGUAAGUCAGUGGUGAAAUCUCACAGCUUAACUGUGAAACUGCCAUUGAUACUGCAGGUCUUGAGUGUUAUUGAAGUAGCUGGAAUAAGUAGUGUAGCGGUGAAAUGCAUAGAUAUUACUUAGAACACCAAUUGCGAAGGUAGGUUACUAAGCAACAACUGGCGCUGAUGGACGAAAGCGUGGGGAGCGAACAGG